UACGUAGGGUGCGAGCGUUGUCCGGAAUUACUGGGCGUAAAGAGCUCGUAGGUGGUUUGUCGCGUUGUUCGUGAAAACUCACAACUCAAUUGUGGGCGUGCGGGCGAUACGGGCAGACUGGAGUACUGCAGGGGAGACUGGAAUUCCUGGUGUAGCGGUGGAAUGCGCAGAUAUCAGGAGGAACACCGGUGGCGAAGGCGGGUCUCUGGGGCCGAUGACUGACGCUGAGGAGCGAAAGCCGGGUGGGACGAAACGGGA
rnacentral:rRNA from 1 species